AACGAACGCUGGCGGCAUGCCUAACACAUGCAAGUCGAACGAGACCUUCGGGUCUAGUGACGCACGGGUGCGUAACGCGUGGGAACCUGCCCUUAGGUUCGGAAUAACUCCCCGAAAGGGGUGCUAAUACCGGAUAAUGUCUUCGGACCAAAGAUUUAUCGCCUUUGGAUGGGCCCGCGUUGGAUUAGCUAGUUGGUAGGGUAAAAGCCUACCAAGGCGACGAUCCAUAGCUGGUCUGAGAGGAUGAUCAGCCACACUGGGACUGAGACACGGCCCAGACUCCUACGGGAGGCAGCAGUGGGGAAUAUUGGACAAUGGGCGAAAGCCUGAUCCAGCAAUGCCGCGUGAGUGAUGAAGGCCUUAGGGUUGUAAAGCUCUUUUACCCGGGAUGAUAAUGACAGUACCGGGAGAAUAAGCUCCGGCUAACUCCGU
rnacentral:rRNA from 1 species